rnacentral:rRNA from 1 species
AACGAACGCUGGCGGCAGGCCUAACACAUGCAAGUCGAGCGGAGGAGCAAUCCCUAGCGGCGGACGGGUUAGUAACGCGUGGGAACAUACCCUUUGGUACGGAAUAGCCUCGGGAAACUGAGAGUAAUACCGUAUGUGCCCUUCGGGGAAGGAUUAUCGCCAAAGGAUUGGCCCGCGUUGGAUUAGGUAGUUGGUGGGGUAAGUGGCCUACCAAGCCGACGAUCCAUAGCUGGUUUGAGAGGAUGAUCAGCAACACUGGGACUGAGACACGGCCCAGACUCCUACGGGAGGGCAGCAGUGGGGAAGUCUUAGACAAUGGGCGAAAGACCUGAUCUAGCCAUGCCGCGUGGACGAUGAAGGCCUUA